AUUCAAAAAUAUUUGGAGACGGAGUUGCCUUUCAAUAUGUAGUAGAAAUAUUAGAGUUACAAGGAUUUCAAAUAAGAGAAUUUAUUAAUUCUCUUUCCUAAGCUUGACUGACAUGUGGCUGCAAACAUGGCGGAGCAUGGCUUUGCUGCUUCUAAUAGCAAUCCCCACUAGAGCCGCCUAUAGGGAUCACGAUGUGCUGCAUUUGAUGAAUCUACAAGUGUACAUGAAUAGCGAAGUGCCAUACGGAAAGGAGACGUUUGUGGUGAUGGCCAUGUCCGUAUUUCCAACAGAUACCGUACGACUACGCCUUUACGCAAAGAGCUACCUGUUGGCCUAUCUUCUGCUCAGUGCUGAUGAACAGACAAUGCCACCUAAAUUCGAGAAGACGCGCCGCAUUAGCAAUGUUUUGAAGGAGCUUCAAAUAAAACCACCACAACCUGUGCUUUACGAAACUGCAUAUUUUGCAAAAGUUGCAUCAAUAUUCUGGGAUACUGACGACGAUCUAAUGACUCUGACGGCAGUGAUUCCUAAAAAACCCAUGAUCCCCGAAGUUACUGUAGAGGUUGCUUUCAAGGUUACUCUGCCUAAUUACUGUGUGCCAUUGUUAAAGAUGAUUCAUUGCGGCGUUGCCCAGAAUCCCCAGGAAAUUGUCCCGACUCGCAGCACAUCACUUGCUACGAUAUUCAAGGAGAAAUGCAAAAUUCAUAAUGUGACAUUAACGUGGACCAUUUACGAUCUGUCCGAGAUGGAAUUAUUGUAUUCAAUUCGGAAUCAACGCAUGAUUUUUACCUUAAAGCGUUUCAGCCUGACCCAAGUGCCAGCUGCUCAUGACCUCUGGCGAAAUCUUUUCGUGAUCAAACCUCAGGGCGUCUAUGAAGGCAUUCCCUUCAUGGCCCGUUGCUAUGUGGAGAUGGUACAAUCCAAGGUCGAGGCAAUUAUUCACGGUGGUCGAAAUCGCGAAGCGAAUGUAGCAGACGCACUUUUAAUGGAUGGAUCAUCUAGUCGCGAUCACUCUAAGCCCAAGAAGAUUCGACAAUUUAAAGCUUAUCACUGGUCCUGUACAUCAGAAGACGAUUAUACAAAUCGGCUUUGUAGAUCGCCAAUGGGGUUUAAAGGCUCAAAACUUGUAAUACCCAGGGAUAAAUUUCUUGUCAACUGUCAAUACGAUUUCACAUUGAAGGUGGCUGCCGAUAACAAUCGAAUGAUCAAGUCAAAGGCAUCCCAGUCGGUACAAAUGGUUAACUACGGAGUACUGCAUGUGACGAUUGUUUGCAUGUCGAAUUGCGCCAACCGUCAAUACAACCCAUUAAACAAGGUGCGCCUUAGGGCCAGGUGCCUGAAUUGUGGCACUGAGACCAUCAAAUAUGCAUGGUAUGUUGGCGACCAGUAUACCCUCAGCUCUGAGAAUAUGACGAUGCAUGUGCGUACGAUGGGAACGAUGGCCAACAUUAAGGUAGUUUUGCAGCUGGAAGAUGGACGCAAGGGAGAGGAUCAGACAGACCUAAUGAAGACAGUGGUUCCUGUUGGCGGUACGUGUGAAGUGAACCCAAAAGCCGGAGUUGAGGCCAGGACUCCUUUUUUUGUCUGUUGCAGCGACUAUGUAACUGAACAUAAACCCAUCGAGUUUUUCUAUUAUGCUGAUCGUGUGUUGCUCAACAAAUGCUUGCAAUGCAAUUGCCCAGUGCAUCUGCCACAUAAUGUGAAUCAGAUCAAGGUGCUGAUAUGCGAUAGCUUGCUUACGUGCCGCACGAAUUUCGUGGAUGUAGAAGUGACGCCACUUGAAGAUCCUGUAAUCGAUACCCCAGAGGAGAUAUGGCAAUACAUCACAGAGGAGCCGAACGAUAUUGUAGACAUGAUGGAUCGUGGUUUAAAUAUGCAAUUUUACCAGACACUCGAAUCGUUAGCUUGCCGCCUCAAUACUGCUGAAGGUGGUGAGGUAUUGAUGCGAGCCUUUGAGAACGCCUAUCCCGAAUCUCUGAUUACGCUCGGCAAGUUGGCCAACUUAACGCAAACCUUCGGUAAGAGGUUUACGCCCAUUAAUAUCCGCGAGCAUAACUUGUUGACCAAAUCGUUGGCCAAACUAAACCAAAACUUUCAAACACUGUACAACAAUAGAGGGCGAAUAGAGAUGACUGAGCAGCCAUAUAUUAAUGUGACUGUUGCUUGUGUCACCGUCUACGAGAUGAUGGAUCGCAUUAAUCGGAAAAUUCCACGUCCACCGCAACAUAUAUACGACGAAUAUCGCAAAGCAAUCAAUGAGAAUAAACUACAGCAGGAUGUUAUUGAUCGACUCAAGGAGGAGAUAAAUGCUUUCGACGAUGAGGAUGCUAAGAACCGUUCGCUACGCUGGUUGAAUGCCAAGUGGGAAACGGAACGGCUCUAUCGAUUCCUAGACUUGGCUCGACAACAUGGCUUGCAAGGGGAUCCCUCUGAAGUAGGUUUGGAGGCCGUUUCCCUAGAAAUUCAGUGUUUUUAUAUUGAAGCAAAUCGCCACUACAAUAUCAAGACUAGCGAUAGCAUGCAUGUUGUGUUUUUCUCACCCGAACUACUGCAGGAAACCAAGGAACCUGAGACCAAUUACAUUUGCCUUAAGGUCCUCUCGACAACACGCGAACUUUAUUGGUGGUACCCAGAGGAAAAGCAACCCAGUGCCGUGCUGCUCUCUGUGCGCAUCUAUGUGUAUGAAGACAAGUUUAAGGAGGAGCGCCACUUGCACGACAGCGACAUUCGAUUCGUGACUACUGUGGGCAAGUACAAACCAGCCCUGGACAAAAACGACUCUAUUAGUGCAGGUGCCAAAUAUAUGACAAAGAUAAAUGUAAAAAGUGACAUGGCGGGUGUCCUAGGCAUAGACUUUAGCCAGAAUGUCGCACGUAGCCAGGCGGUGGAGGAGGACGAUGACCUCAUCUUCCCAUCGGAUGAUAACAAGCCUCAAAAUAAGGGCCGUAAACCUAAUUUAGAUGAUGAGGAGGAUGAAUAUGUGAUCUCGGAUGCGGGCAGAUUUAUUCAUUGUCUGGAGUCGGGCACAGUGAACUACAUGCAACAGGUGCGCCUGUAUCGCGUUAGUAUUGAGGGCCAUGCGAUGGUAACGGUGCGCUUUAAGGAGUCGUCACAUGAACUGCAAGUGCUGCUUUACAUCGGGGCGAGACCAAGAUCAUGGAGGGAUAAAGUGUCCAAGGCCACUUGCUUUGUGCCCUCCAAUUCAAGCAACAAGAUCAUGCUCAUUCGCAAUAAAUGCCCUGAAACCAAACGGGCCUAUAUGGCAAUGCAGAUCAAUGGCGCAGGGGAUUACCAUGAAGACGAAGACACGCCGGUGCCCAAUGGUCCGGCUAGCUAUGCAUUUGUAUUCCAGGAGCGCAGCUGUGAUUAUUGGAAAUACAGUUUGUCAGAGAGCUCGCAGCACUGGUCCCACGACCAUUGCUAUCCCAUACUGGAAUUCCAGAAGAAGGGCACUCUCCAUUGCGAAUGCACUGUGCUGGGCACCUAUACCAGCUAUGUAUAUCAUAUCCCAGCCACUGCAGUGCCAUUGGACGCGGAUCGGAUAGACAUGAAUAUUGUGUUGCUUGUUUUCUAUAUCGUAAUCUUUACACUGAUUUUCAUUGGGCUGCUGGUGCUGGUCAUUUGGUUCAAUAAGCGACCCACCAAGGCGGUUAUUUGUGAUAUGAGCGGCUUGAACACAGAAUCUGGUCGGGAUGUACAUGAUCUAUUGAUAUUUGUGAAGACUGGUGGACGCAUCAAUGCCCAAACUACGGCCACGGUGCGUCUCAUCUUUCAGACCACUCAGCGGGCCGAAUUACAGUUCACAAUCAUGCAGGAUCCAGAGCAUCCUCAGCUAACUCGGAAUUCCACGUACGUGCUUCUGAUUCGUACACGUGACAUUCGUAUUCCAACUCGAAUUGCGGUUGCUCACAACAAUGCGGGACGCUAUCCUAGCUGGUUUUUGCGACGCAUCGAGUUGGUGGAUCUGCAGCAUCAAAUAAGCCAAGUGUUUAUAGUCAAUCGAUGGGUGCGCCAGAAGUUUCUCAUCCUCAGCUCGUCGAUGGUUCUUAGGUUUGGAGACAAUCGCGUAGUCGAGAAGUGGCGCGAAAGAUUCUUAUCCUCGUUUGAAGUGUUGUGGAUCAAUUGGGGGCUUUGGCAUCCGUUGACCGGGAAAUGGCGAGAUAGCAAGUCCUGCAACAGUUUGUCGCGAGCCCAGCGAGUUUGCGUAUUUGUAAGUAAAAUGAUGGUCAUCUACUGCAUUGUCGUCUGUUUGUUUGGACAUUCGUCGCGGCAUUCCGUCUAUGAGGAUCGCAAAAUUACCAUAAAUGGCAACAAUGUAUUGUCAAUGUUCAUCUAUUGUUCCAUUGCCACAAAUUUAGUUCACUUUAUUUUCGUUUCAAUUAUUCUAUCAAAUUAAUCGAGCACUUUAAAAAUUAAGGUAUAAUUCAAAACUUUAUUAUAUUUUUUAUCGGAGUGUAACCACAGUUACAAUUUCUAAAAUAUACGUUUUAAUGCCGAGUGUCAAAAUACAGCAACUCCAAUUAUUGUCAGCUGGGACACUUUAUGUGGUAUAUUUGUUGUCACUGAAUUAUUUGUUUCAGUUAAAAGAAUGUACGCAGCUCACCUUUAAUAAUACAAGAAUAUUUCAGUAUUUUCGUUGGCGUUAUUUAGUGCAUUGUGUAUUUGCUUUAUACAAUUUUGUUUUUCCUCUUUUCGUACGCCAAGUUCGUCGGUCGUGCGUGUGUGGCAGAAAUAUUAAAAAAAAUUUAGAAUCAAUUAAUAAAAGCCUCUGAUACAACGCAGCUGUUA